rnacentral:lncRNA from 1 species
AAUUUGCCACUGAAGUUUAUUUUUAAAAGGGAAAACGUCGACAAAACACUAAAAGAACAAAAAUAUGGUCAUCGCAACCAAAUUUAGGUUCGAGAGUCGAUUAUGCGCGUGAAAGAUAUUAGCACUUUACGACAUACAUGGUAAACAAUAUUUACCUUUAAUUAGUUUUACGAAUAAAAGUUUUGGCCUAAAGUGAUCGAUUUCUCCUAAUUAUUACGAUAUAUUUA